rnacentral:rRNA from 1 species
GCAUAUCAAUAAGCGGAGGAAAAGAAACCAACAGGGAUUGCCCCAGUAACGGCGAGUGAAGCGGCAAGAGCUCAAAUUUGAAAGCUGGCUCCUUCGGGGUCCGCAUUGUAAUUUGCAGAGGAUGCUUCGGGAGCGGCCCCCAUCUAAGUGCCCUGGAACGGGCCGUCAUAGAGGGUGAGAAUCCCGUAUGGGAUGGGGUGCCCGCGCCCGUGUGAAGCUCCUUCGACGAGUCGAGUUGUUUGGGAAUGCAGCUCUAAAUGGGUGGUAAAUUUCAUCUAAAGCUAAAUAUUGGCCGGAGACCGAUAGCGCACAAGUAGAGUGAUCGAAAGAUGAAAAGCACUUUGAAAAGAGAGUUAAAAAGCACGUGAAAUUGUUGAAAGGGAAGCGUUUGCGACCAGACUCGCCUACGGGGUUCAGCCGGCUUUCGGGCCGGUGUACUUCCCCGUGGGCGGGCCAGCGUCGGUUUGGGCGGCCGGUCAAAGGCCCUCGGAAUGUAACGCCUCUCGGGGCGUCUUAUAGCCGAGGGUGCCAUGCGGCCUGCCCGGACCGAGGAACGCGCUUCGGCUCGGACGCUGGCAUAAUGGUCGUAAACGACCCGUCUUGAAACACGGACCAAGGAGUCUAACAUCUAUGCGAGUGUUCGGGUGUCAAACCCGUGCGCGCAGUGAAAGCGAACGGAGGUGGGAACCCUUUGGGUGCACCAUCGACCGAUCCAGAAGUCUUCGGAUGGAUUUGAGUAAGAGCAUAGCUGUUGGGACCCGAAAGAUGGUGAACUAUGCCUGAAUAGGGCGAAGCCAGAGGAAACUCUGGUGGAGGCUCGCAGCGGUUCUGACGUGCAAAUCGAUCGUCAAAUUUGGGUAUAGGGGCGAAAGACUAAUCGAACCAUCUAGUAGCUGGUUCCUGCCGA